rnacentral:rRNA from 1 species
UACGUAGGGUGCAGGCGUUAAUAGGAAUUACUGGGCGUAAAGCGUGCGCAGGCGGUUUGCUAAGACAGGUGUGAAAUCCCCGGGCUUAACCUGGGAACUGCGCUUGUAACUGGCAAGCUUGAGUGUGGCAGAGGGGGGUGGAAUUCCACGUGUAGCAGUGAAAUGCGUAGAGAUGUGGAGGAACACCGAUGGCGAAGGCAGCCCCCUGGGCUAACACUGACGCUCAUGCACGAAAGCGUGGGGAGCAAACAGG